rnacentral:miRNA from 1 species
ACCUUAGAGACCAUCUACGUUUGUUAUUGGUAUGAGCUUUCGUGUGUAUCUGAGGAAGUGCAUGCACACGAAAGCUCAUACCAGUAACAAACUUAGUUGCUCUCUAAGGU